AAAACCGGCGUGAAACUAAAGUCACUCACUCAGUCAUAUACGAAAUUUUCCGAAUGUCCGAUAUAUACUAGGCAAAAUUAAGCAGUAUUACGACAUUAAAAAUUUAUAGUUUUAGUUUCUGGUGAAAACGAUAUAUUUGUUAAAUUCUGGUCAUCAAUACAUGGUACAUUGAAAAGUUGAUUUAUGUGACUUUACCUCAUUGUCUGUACAUCGUAAAGGAUCAAUGUAUCUUGUGUACCUCAUGUAUGUCAAAUUGUGUAUAUGUAACUGUUGCCAAUGACAAACAGAAUUGUAAAAUUGAAACCAUGAAAAAUAAAAAAUAAAAAUCUUUUAAUAAACAUCAUAUAUAAUUCACUGGUUCUUAAUUGAGUGUACAACUUCGACCCUGGUCAACAAGGUCGACAAUAACCUAUUCUCCCACAUCCUGUAAAUAGAAUACAUGUCAGGUGUUUUGUUAAAAACACAACGAACUCCUGUCAUUGUUACAGGUAAUUUAGCAUCAAACGUGCUCGCACGUCUCUAUUUCUUAUGUCACGUUAAAAACAACAUUACAUCUCAAAAUUUACUGUUGUCCUGGUAUACAACUAAAUGGUUCAUGUACAGUACAUGUGACCGGUCAGAACCAUGGACUGUACUCUAACCCCCUCUAUACUAUACUAUGUAUGUACUGUCUGCGAUGACACGCCUCCCUACGGCAAGUGACCUUGGAGGGUUGUCCAUGUGUUUCUUGCGUGGCUUUAGAGGCUGUUGAAAGUAUAUGGGGCUAUUUAUAUCAUUGUUUACGUCUACUGUCAAUAUUGAGUCAGAUCAUACGAUACACAGGUACUGGUUUCACCGACAUAAAGGAUAUUGUUAUUUGUUCAGGUUUAAAGGGGUGGCUGAAAUUCAUAUAUUCAACUGGUAUUAUGCAUAUGUAAUAUAGGUUUGAGGGUAUAGGAAAAUAUAUGAGGCCUUGUUGCAACCACUCAAGUGUGAAGGGGGCUCUCCUGGGCAGAUAGCUAGCGGUGCACUCAAGCGUUGCGUUUGCACAUUCCUUUCAAAUAGAGCAAGCGUUGACAGGCGACAAGAAAGAAUAGGUUUUGCUAAGUCAUGUCUAACUAAUGUAGCCUGUGGUAGAUGUACCUCAUUGUGAAGAAAUUCUCUUGGCCUGUGUGAAGUGUACUUAGCACACCAUAGCCUUGGGCAAUAAACGUGGGGUAUUGUUCAGGUGUUGUAUUGUCUUUUAUACACAAUGACAAUGGAUAUUUUCAUGCAUUAAACUUGGGCAUGUGUUUUUUAGAGGAUAGGGUUUAGGUAAACAUUUCACAUGACGAAAAACAGCGGAUGGGUUGACCUACUCUACACCAGGAGUUUGUCUAACCAUCUAUAAGUGGUCUGUUCUUCAACAUGGGCUUGUCUCGGUAUCUAUAAGUGGUCUGUUCUUCAACAUGGGCUUGUCUCGGUAUCUAUAAGUGGUCUGUUCUUCACAGGAAUUUGUUUAGGUAUCUUUAAGUGGUCUGUUCUUCAACAGAGCUUGUCCAGGUAUCUGUAAUAUUUGAAUUACGCUAUACCCGGUGCUUGCAUAUGUACCUAUAAUUGGACUGCUCUACACUUGGAGCUUGUUUGGACAUCUCUAUACUAAUCUUGAAUGUCUAAACAUGAUACUGUUAUGCAAGAGCAUGUUGUGUCCCCAAGACAUUGUAGCUGAUAAUUUCUUUUACAAAUUCGUAAUUGGCAUGUUGGAAAUACUUUGCCGUUACGUUGACAUAAGUCUAUCUGAUCUAUCACUUACGACGUUCUGUGCACAGUUAGUGGGAUUGUAUUCUCCACAAGCAACUUUAUCCCAGGGAAAUCCUAUCGUGGCAUACGGUUGAGCCAAUGGUAGUUGUUUUCGACAAUAUUUUGUUAGUUCCCGUUUCUGUUUUGUCAAUUUCAUUUUUUUUGUGAAAGACAAACAAUUAAAUGUGUACGAUGGUGGUGAUUGUUGAUGUUCAUCGACGAAAUAUGUUGGAGAUGUUUACGGGCUUCGAUGGUAACAAAUACUGGCCUUGAUCUCCAGUUUCAUCAUGUAAAGUAUCGUUGGUUAGAACCGACUGGAAGUAAUGGUGGAGUUGUCUCCCUUGUCAGGGUAUGCGUCUCGUUAUUACUCCAGGUGAAAUCCCUCGGUGAUAAACGCGCUUUUCUUGAGCCCAGUUUUAUCCAUUUGAGAUAACUUGGUUUGAUUCAUUGAGCCUUUUGUCGACUUGUGGUACAAAGUUUAUGAGUAAGAUGAAAAAGAAAAAACAACAUUUGUUGACAAUGACUUUUCUUACAAAAUAUUUUUAAAUUUAUAAAACAAUUAGACAGACGUAUACAAAUUACAGUGUCAAUCAUGACAAUCAUGUUUUUAUAGAACGUAGAAUUACAAAUCACAAUAAACAUAAAUAGUGUCAUUUGAUGUAUUUAAAAAAAACGAACAUUUGUUUCAGGGAAGCUGUCACAGAGUGUUACUGAUAUGUAAACAACAUGAUAAUGGACGAAAGAAAUCUCGUGAUUAAUCCUCUGGUAGAUAGCGUCAAGUACGCAUAAAAAUUAUGUUCAUAAAAAUAAACUUAGAGUUGUAAAUACAUUUGCCAACCAUUAGACAUGUUGUAAUACUACUCUACAAAAGACACGGACAUGUCAGCCUGAAUAAGAAACGUGACAUAUGGUAGAAACGGGGUUGGAAAAUAUUCGAGGUUCACAUAGCAACAGUUAUGACAGGAUAUGUUCCAUCGUUGUUAGCCUUGUCAUUGUACUGUUAUAUUCGAGUUACAGUUAUAUUCGAGCGUGUCAGUGUUGUGUUCUGUUUGUAAGUCUAUCAAGUCCCAUCAUGCUGAGAGAACACCCAGGACACUGACUUACCAAACUGUUACACGUUUAGCCCUAGUAUUGUAAAUCUGUAUAAUCAAACACAAUAGAAUUGACAACGUCGGGAAUUGGGAACCUCAUGUAGACAUCUAAAUGUUUUACAAACCAAAUCGUGACUGAAGUCAAUUAAAGUUUUGUUCUCUCCUGAAAUUGACAAUUUUGACGGACAUGUAACUUGAAAUCAGUACAUGUGUACCUGUACAAGGUUACUGAGAUGACAUUGAGUAUUACAAA
rnacentral:lncRNA from 1 species